rnacentral:rRNA from 1 species
CAGCAGCCGCGGAAUACAGAGGGUGCAAGCGUUAAUCGGAAUUACUGGGCGUAAAGCGCGCGUAGGUGGUUUGUUAAGUUGGAUGUGAAAUCCCCGGGCUCAACCUGGGAACUGCAUCCAAAACUGGCAAGCUAGAGUAUGGUAGAGGGUGGUGGAAUUUCCUGUGUAGCGGUGAAAUGCGUAGAUAUAGGAAGGAACACCAGUGGCGAAGGCGACCACCUGGACUGAUACUGACACUGAGGUGCGAAAGCGUGGGGAGCAAACAGGAUUAGAUACCCCCGUAGUCCCUGUCUCUUAUACA